ensembl:lncRNA
GAUGUCCUCAGAUUACUCAAGCUAGUGUGGAAUGAACAUGCAGAAUACAGAAACCAACGGAAACGCUCCUGUUUCAUUCUUUUACGCGGUCAUAAUGUCAAUCAGUGCCAAAGAGAAGGAGGUUACUGACUGAUUAAUGAAUAUGUAUGGAUCCAAAUGGUAAAGGAGCUCCUGACGGGAUCUGAGAACAAAUUGUGUUCCUGUAGGGGAAGGUAUAAACUUACUAAAUUUUCCAUAUGCUGAUGGAGAGCUAAAAAUGAAUUGGGAGGCCAAGGCUCAACUGCUUGCUCUUUUAUUUGCUCUGUAGACUGUGAAUGAAACAGCUGGAAGGUGGAAGGAAAGAGGGAUUACUCUCACAAAGGUGAAAGUGUGAAGUGGUCAAGCUCCCAAAGUUGCCAAGAGAAAUGAACUCAUCUAGCUAGUGUUUUGGAGAAGAAAACUUACAGUAGUAUUGUAGUUCUUCAACUGACAAACAGCAGAAGAGGAAAGGGAACAUUAAAAAAAAAAAAAGUUUGAUUCUGAGGAAAAGUAUCAUCUCCUUGGUAGAUACAAGCAUUAUCACCUCCUGGUCAGACUUGAUGUAUUUGCCUAUUUCAUACAUACUAAUGUAUUUAAAUACGUACGUCGUGUCUAUUUAAUAUAUUAAACUCAGCAUAUAGUAUAUAUACACAUAUAAAAUAUGCAGCAGAAUGAAUUGUACCUCUUUAUGUGCUUGAACAAAGAUUUGCUUUGCAGAAAAGUUGACAGCCUUUUACCAUAACUGGGACACUGUUUUAUUUGAUGAGGAACAGCAGAUUUUGGUUUCAAAAAUUUCAUUUUGAUUUAAGAAAAACUCAGUGCUCCCUGGAAACUUCUAGCAUUCAACCCAGCCACAGCUGGCACUAAUUUAAGGUAUCUCAGCUUUACAUCUGACUGUGAAAGGGAAGCAUAAAGGGUCUGUUGUUUUGGGGAAAUAAGUUUGUCUAGUCUUUAGGGUUCUUUCUGGCUCAGGGCUCCCAGGAAACCUUCUCAGAUGCAAUAGAUCAGCAGUUUUGUAAGGCACCUGUUUUUCACUGUUGUAGCAGAAAUGUUAAGUCACAGCCUGAACCAGUGAUUGAGCACCUGGUGGGAAGGCAGGGCCAACCCAGGGGAGCUCAGGUGCAUGCAAUGAACCUGAGUGAGCAGAAGGGGUGCAGGCAGGAUCCGCCCCUUCCCAGACUUCAUUUAAAGGUUGGCAGUGGAGGCAAGGGUAUCUUGCUGAAGAUUGCUGCAUAUCUCAGGUCUUCCUAAGGUAAGCAGUUUUCCUUUCUUUGUUUUUGCUUCCAUAUCUGCUUCAUCUGGGCUUGUUCUCGUUUGCUAUAGACUAGGAUUGUGCUACUCUGCUGUUAUUGCUAUACUUUCCAUCACAUUAUAGCAUUACAAUUGUCACCAGCUGUUAAUUCAACUCCUAUACUGUUGUGUCAUGCUCACACCUCAGUGCUGUAAAAUUAC